rnacentral:rRNA from 1 species
UACAGAGGGUGCAAGCGUUAAUCGGAAUUACUGGGCGUAAAGGGCGCGUAGGCGGCCGCCCGCGUGUGUGGUGAAAGCUCCUGGCUUAACUAGGAGAGGUCCAUGCAGACGGGGUGGCUUGAGCGUCGGAGAGGGGCAUGGAAUUCCGGGUGGAGCGGUGAAAUGCGUAGAGAUCCGGAGGAACACCAAUGGCGAAGGCAGUGCCCUGGCCGACGGCUGACGCUCAGGCGCGAAAGCGUGGGGAGCAAACAGG